ACUGUUUCUCAUCUCAGGAUGUCUUCCUGAUGAUUGUCAUGAUGAAAUCCCUUCUCAGUAAAAACGGUCACCUGGACCUGUUCGUUCGCUUCCUUCAUGGACUCUCUCUGGAGUCAAACCAGAGACUCUUAGGAGGUCUGCUGGGUCACACAGACAACAGUCCAGGAAUGAUCCAAAGAGUCAUCAAGAACCUGAAGUGGAU